UCAAAUCCAAACUGCAACAACAAAAUCAUUUGAUUCUUCUCACAAGUCAAGACAAAAUUUUCAAAACUUAAAUUCUUAAUUCUUAAAUUCUUAAACUUAAAUCUUAUUGGUAAAUAAUUGAUGAUUAAUAAAAAAACGAUAGCUUUCGGGAUAGUCUGGAUGGUUCAAUACAUUUCAUAGAUUUCAUAAGGUGAAAUUAAUUGUUUUGUGGUCAAUCACAAUGGCCGGUUGUUUAUGUCGUCUCAUCGGAUAAUAAAGUAAGUGGAGGACGAUUUCAUCAUUGCCAUUGGGUCCAACCGAACAUCCAGCAAACAACCGAAAGACUUCUCCAAAACCGGAAUCACAAACACUAAUGAUACUGUAUAGGAUGUGUAAAGCAAAAGUGGGUGGUAAUCCAGUUGCAGCAAAACUAUCACAACCACUUUGAGAGGAAUACUGCGGAAUCGGCGGAAUCACGCACACUCUAUUCAUUUGGAGAAGUAAAUACUCAACCAAGAGCUGUUGAAAAUAAACAAUUUUUCGUACGAGAUGCCCGACAUCCCGGGAUUCGAAUAUGAAAAGACCAGAAUUGACGACGACGAUGAGUCUUCUGGUGAAAUUUAGGGAAUACGUUCUGCUACGACAGCAGCCGGAUAGUACAGUAGACAAUCGGCAGUCCUAGUUUCGAAAAGCGUGGCCUGUACAACAACCUCAGCAUAAUCGAGAUCAUUCCGCAUCUCAACAACAGUAUUCCCAGCACCGGACACCUCAUUCAUGUACCAACCGACUCGGGAGAGAAAACACGCUUCUCGUCAUCAAAACUUUCGGGAUCGAAUCGCCAUAUUUGGUACUCCUGGUCUGACAUAAACCCACACCUGAAUUCGUAUUAUUUCAUCAACAUCAUCAACAUCAACUGCACAGACCGCGGUUGGAUCGUAACAUCUCCCGCUCACAUCGCAACAUCAAGUGCCUGUCUAUCGCAAUCUAUCGCAAGUUUGACCUUUUAGAUACGAGGCGAACAUGAAGCACUUGUUAAAAACGGUGUCCAACGCCGUUGUGUUAGGAUGAUGCUGCCCUCGAUGCUGCCUUUUCACUUACAAUGACCUGCAAAGUCAGAGUCAGUCACAUCUUCUUUUUGAUGAACUAAUAGCAGCUGCCGUUGUCCACAAUCUGGAUGAAAAGACCACCAGCGAGUAAAACGUUAUGUUUAUCACUCUUGGUGGCGGUACUAUUGAUGAGUCAAUCCUGUCAAUCGAUGAUAGCAUCUUCAAAGUCUGCAGCCGAUGACACCCAUCUUGGCGGUAAGGACUCUGACUACCGAUUGUCUUCACCGGCAGGGGUCAGCUUUGAAAAUGAAUUGUUCUUCGAGGGCACCAACUUCACCCAAUGAUUGCUGGAAGUCUCCGUAAUAAAGAUAAUAAAAAAUAAAUAAAAUAAAAUAAAUCUUAUUCCACAGACUGUCUGUGCUUAUUCAAUCAAUCUCAAUCUAUCAAUCAAACACACUCGAUAAAUAUCAAUCAUUCAAUCAAGCUCAGUCAAUUAAUUCCGAAAAUCAAUUAAUCUCAAUGAUUCAAUCAAGCUCAGACAAUCAAUCUAAAUCAAUAAAAAAAUCAAUUAAUCAUUCUCAAUCCAUCAAUCUCAUUCAUUAAAAUCAAUCAAUCAUAUUAAAAAAAAACAAUCUCAACCAAUCAAUUAAUCUUGAGAUCAAUCUCAAUUAAUCCUUAAGUCAAUCAAUCUCAAAUAAUCAAUUAAUCUCGAUUAAUCAAUCUCAAUCAAGCAAUCAAACAAUCCUCACCAAUCAAUUAAUCUUAAUCAAUCAAUCGCAAUCCAUCAAUCAAACAAUCAAUCAAUCUCAAUCCAUCAAUCAUUCAACCAAGCUCAGUUAAUCAACUAAAUAAUGAAUCAAUCAAUCUUAAUAAAUCAAUUUAAAAGCAAUCCAUUAUUCUCAAUAAAUCAACCUCAAUUAAUCAAUCUCAAUCAAUGAAUCAACCAAUCAAUCUCAAUAAAACAAUAGCACUCAACUAAUCUAAAACACAUUAAUAAAGCUUAAAAAAAAACUCAACUAAUCAAUCUUAAUCAAUCAAUCUCAAUAAAACAAUAGCACUCAACCAAUCAAUCUUAAUCAAUCUCAAUCGAUCAAAAAAUCAAUCUUAAUCGAUCAGCCAAUCAAUCAGUAUUAAUCAAUCUCAAUAGAUCAAUCAAUUAAUCUUAAUAAUUCAAUCAAUCUAAAUCAAUGAAUCAAUCAAUCUCAAUCCAACAUUAUCACUCAAUCAACCAUAAUCAAUCUCAAUCGAUCAAUCAAUGAAUCUCAAUCAAUGAAUAAAACCAAUUAAUCAAUCUCAAUCAAUUAGUCAAUCUCAAUUAUUCAAUCCAUCACAAUCAAUAAAUCAAUCAAUCAAUCUCAAUAAAACAAAUAAACCUCUGUCUCAAUCAAUCAACC